GGGUUGUGGCUCAGUGGUAGAGCGCUUCCCUCGAAUGUGUGAGGCACUGGGUUCGAUUCUCAAAUAAAUGGUCCA
rnacentral:tRNA from 1 species